CCUACGGGUGGCUGCAGUGGGGAAUAUUGGGCAAUGGGCGCAAGCCUGACCCAGCAACGCCGCGUGAAGGAAGAAGGCUUUCGGGUUGUACACCUCCUUUCUGAGGGACGAAGAAAGUGACGGUACCUCAGGUAUAAGCCACGGCUAACUACGUGCCAGCAGCCGCGGUAAUACGUAGGUGGCAAGCGUUAUCCGGAUUUAUUGGGUGUAAAGGGUGUGUAGGGGGGAAAGCAAGUCAGAUGUGAAAAGUCAGGGCUCAACCCUGAGACUGCAUUUGAAACUGUUUUUCAUGAGUGCUGGGGAGGCAAUCGGAAUUCGGUGUGUAGCGGUGAAAUGCGUAGAUAUACGGAAGAACACCAGUGGCGAAGGCGGAUUGCUAAACAGUGACUGACACUGAGGCGCGAAAGCGUGGGGAGCAAACAGGAUUAGAUACCCGAGUAGUC
rnacentral:rRNA from 1 species